CGCUCCGUUCUCCGAGUCGUAGCGGGGUCCCGGGGCGCUUUCAGCCCCCUCCGGGCUUUUUAUCGAGGGCUUCGGGUUCUCUCGAUGUCAUCGGUAGGAGCGAGCGAGACGGGGCCGUAUUGUUCCAGCCUCGGGGCGGCUGGGAAGGCGAGGGUGCAGCAACGCAAAGCGCUGCUGAAACAAGUUUUCUUCUCUUUCAGGCCGAGCUUCUCGUCAGCCCGUAGCAGCGAGCGCUCAGAAGCCGCUCGGGAGACGCGGCGGCACGGCUCGCACGACCGGACCGCCGUUGAGGACCGCCGUGUUCUUUUCCGGAACUCCUUGAGCUCUGCCUAAGGAUGAAGGAAGAAGUAGGGGAGCCCCGGGGCGCCUCACCCCAGUCGAGGCGCUGCCGGAGCUCGUAUUCCCGGUCUAGGAAGGGCUCGCGGGCGAUACGGUGAAGUUCGGGAUUAGACCGGGAAGACGCAAGGCACCUAAAGGUACCUCGUGGCAAGCGGAGGUCUUUUUUUGUCAUCUCGUCACCAGUGAGAAGAGACUAGUCAGUAGCCCUGCCCUCACGGCCAGGCGGGCGAGGACGGAAGGACAGCGCGAGUGAGAGCAGCCUUCAGGGAGGGCGAGAAGGACAGGCGGCGUGACAGCGGCCGGUAGGCGUCCCCUUCCUUUGG